rnacentral:rRNA from 1 species
CCGGCAAACGGGUGCGGAACAUGUACGCAACCUUCCCAAAACUGGUGAAUAGCCCUCCGAAAGGAGGAUUAAUACACCGUAAGAUAAUGAAGAGGCAUCUCUUUAUUAUUAUAGCUCCGGCGGUUUUGGAUGGGCGUGCACCUGAUUAGGUAGUUGGUGAGGUAACGGCUCACCAAGCCUGCGAUCAGUAACUGGUGUGAGAGCACGACCAGUCACACGGGCACUGAGACACGGGCCCGACUCCUACGGGAGGCAGCAGUAAGGAAUAUUGGUCAAUGGACGAAAGUCUGAACCAGCCACGCCGCGUGAAGGAUGACGGCCCUCUGGGUUGUAAACUUCUUUUAUAUGGGACGAAAAAAGGGAAUUCUUUCUCACUUGACGGUACCAUAGGAAUAAGCACCGGCUAACUCCGUGCCAGCAGCCGCGGUAAUACGGAGGGUGCAAGCGUUAUCCGGAUUCACUGGGUUUAAAGGGUGCGUAGGUGGGUAGGUAAGUCAGUGGUGAAAUCUCCGAGCUUAACUCGGAAACUGCCAUUGAUACUAUUUAUCUUGAAUUUUUUGGAGGUGAGCGGAAUAUGUCAUGUAGCGGUGAAAUGCUUAGAUAUGACAUAGAACACCAAUUGCGAAGGCAGCUCACUACGAAAUUAUUGACACUGAGGCACGAAAGCGUGGGGAUCAAACAGGAUUAGAUACCCUGGUAGUCCACGCCCUAAACGAUGGAUACUCGACAUCAGCGAUACACUGUUGGUGUCUGAGCGAAAGCAUUAAGUAUCCCACCUGGGAAGUACGACCGCAAGGUUGAAACUCAAAGGAAUUGACGGGGGUCCGCACAAGCGGU